rnacentral:rRNA from 1 species
UACGGAGGGUGCAAGCGUUAAUUGGAAUUACUGGGCGUAAAGGGCGCGCAGGCGGCCGAUCAAGUCAGAUGUGAAAGCCCCGGGCUCAACCUGGGAAUAGCAUUUGGGACUGGUCGGCUAGAGUUCGGGAGAGGAGAGUGGAAUUCCCAGUGUAGAGGUGAAAUACAUAGAGAUGUCAUAGAACACCGAUUGCGAAGGCAGCUGACGAAACUAUAACUGACACUGAGGCUCGAAAGUGUGGGGAUCAAACAGG